CCUACGUGUGGCAGCAGUGAGGAAUAUUGGUCAAUGGACGGAAGGCUGAACCAGCCAAGUCGCGUGAGGGAAUAAGGCCCUAUGGGUCGUAAACCUCUUUUGUCAGGGAGCAAGACGUCCAAGUGUUGACGAGCGGAGAGUACCGGAAGAAAAAGCAUCGGCUAACGCCGUGCCAGCAGCGGCGGUAAUACGGAGGAGGCGAGGGUUAUCCGGAUUUAUUGGGUUUAAAGGGUGCGUAGGCGGGGUGUCAAGGUAGCGGUACAGUUUCGCGGCUCAACCCCGUCUUGCCGUUGAAAAUGAAGCCCUUGAGUGAGUGAGAAGUAAGCGGAAUGCGUGGUGUAGCGGUGAAAUGCAUAGAUAUCACGCAGAACGCCGAUUGCGAAGGCAGCUUACCGGCGCUCAACUGACGCUGAGGCACGAAAGUGCGGGUAUCGAACAGGAUUAGAUACCCUUGUAGUC
rnacentral:rRNA from 1 species